UUAUACUUAUUUCAGGGGCUCCUUUUAGUUCUAACUAUUGACUAUAGCGAGUGCAUGCUGCCGCCACCGAAGUAUGACCCAGAGGACUUGGUGGACUGUAGACCUGGAUCCUACGUGCAAAGUCAUUACUACCACAUCGCCUGUUUGUGCGUGAGACCUGGAGUAGCAGACGAGAAUA